CCUCUGAAUAACCUCUAGUCUAAAUCUAGAAUCCUAAAAACCGAAUUAUCUAAAAUUCUAAUUAGUCAAUUCUAAUUAACCUCAUUCCCUAUUUGACACCUAAUCAAAUUCUAAUUAAUCAUGAGAAUCCGAGUCCACUCCGUCUUUAUGUUCUUCGUGCAAGCUGAAGAAGAAACAUGAAAAAGGAGAAAUGCGCUUAUCCAAAAAAGCUCCAACGCGAAUGAACGCCAUCAAGUUGAACAAAAAAAUGAUCACGUAGAAACCACACCGAGCUGACCAACGCCUAUGCAACAAAUCCGAGCAAGUUCAUGAUCGUGUGCGACGUUAUCACGGCUUCACGUUCAUCAAGCACGGUUCAUAGAUUCGUGAUUCGCGUCGUUCCAUCAUCAAUUCAAAGAUUUGCAUCGUCAAAUUCAACUCGUCCUGUUAUCGUAUGCGCGAACAGAAAGAGAAGCGGUAUCGAAAGUGAAUAAGAUAACUUACCGAAUUGAACAUGUUACUUGGAGUGCUUGGUGAGAUUGGAUCAUGGUCAUGAGAUUGUUCAUGGAGUUUGUGGAUUGGAAUUAGAUGGCCAUCCUUGGAAUCAAUGGGGUUGUUUUGUUCAUUGGGAUUGUUUUGUAAUUGGUUUAGGUUUGAAUGUUGUACAUAAUAUAAUUGGAAUUGUGUGUGUAGUGUAUGUAUGGAAAUUGGUGAAUGUAAUGUAUUAGGGUUGAUCAUGUGAGGUUUGAAUGAACAUGAUAUUUUGGUAGGCUUUGUGUUUGGUUAUGUAAUGUUGAAGUUCGGAUGAAAUGGCGGUUUGGAAUUUGAAUAGAAUUGGAAUUGGAAU